rnacentral:rRNA from 1 species
AGAGUUUGAUCCUGGCUCAGGAUAAACGCUGGCGGCGCACAUAAGACAUGCAAGUCGAACGAACUUAACCAUUAGUUUACUAUUGGAGCGGUUAGUGGCGGACUGGUGAGUAACACGUAAGCAACCUGCCUAUCAGAGGGGAACAGCAGUUAGAAAUGACUGCUAAUACCGCAUAUGCCUUAGAAUCACAUGGUUCGAAAGGGAAAGGAGCAAUCCGCUGAUAGAUGGGCUUGGCGU